UGGGGAAUAUUGCACAAUGGGCGCAAGCCUGAUGCAGCCAUGCCGCGUGUGUGAAGAAGGCCUUCGGGUUGUAAAGCACUUUCAGCGAGGAGGAAGGUGGUGAACUUAAUACGUUCAUCAAUUGACGUUACUCGCAGAAGAAGCACCGGCUAACUCCGUGCCAGCAGCCGCGGUAAUACGGAGGGUGCAAGCGUUAAUCGGAAUUACUGGGCGUAAAGCGCACGCAGGCGGUUUGUUAAGUCAGAUGUGAAAUCCCCGAGCUCAACCUGGGAACUGCAUUUGAAACUGGCAAGCUAGAGUCUCGUAGAGGGGGGUAGAAUUCCAGGUGUAGCGGUGAAAUGCGUAGAGAUCUGGAGGAAUACCGGUGGCGAAGGCGGCCCCCUGGACGAAGACUGACGCUCAGGUGCGAAAGCGUGGGGCAGCAAACAGGAUUAGAUACCCUGGUAGUCCACGCUGUAAACGAUGUCGACUUUU
rnacentral:rRNA from 1 species